UACAAUAUAAAAGCGCCAGGACUAGAGUAGAGCCAAAUUAAAAUUUGGAACAUAUGAUUAACUUACCAUGACGUAUGGAGAAGUUGGAGCAUAUGAUAAAAGGAAACUUCUUCUCCGAUGCUAAAGCUUAAAAAAUAAGAAAUAUGAAGCUUUAGCAUCUACGAAGAAGAAAGCGACCGCGCCAAAUUAAAAUUUAGAGCCUCUGCUUUAGUUGACGAGGAUGGGGAGUAUCGAGUCUUCGGCGGGUGCCCCACGGUAGCGCACUACCGUUAACGAUUGAUAAAGCCGGGAAGUGAUUUCUGGAAACAACAUCAAUCAGGUGUUAAAA
rnacentral:ncRNA from 1 species